GAUGAACGCUGGCGGUGUGCCUAAUACAUGCCAGUCGAGCGAACAGAUGAGGAGCUUGCUCCUCUGACGUUAGCGGCGGACGGGUGAGUAACACGUGGAUAACCUACCUAUAAGACUGGGAUAACUUCGGGAAACCGGAGCUAAUACCGGAUAAUAUAUUGAACCGCAUGGUUCAAUAGUGAAAGACGGUUUUGCUGUCACUUAUAGAUGGAUCCGCGCCGCAUUAGCUAGUUGGUAAGGUAACGGCUUACCAAGGCAACGAUGCGUAGCCGACCUGAGAGGGUGAUCGGCCACACUGGAACUGAGACACGGUCCAGACUCCUACGGGAGGCAGCAGUAGGGAAUCUUCCGCAAUGGGCGAAAGCCUGACGGAGCAACGCCGCGUGAGUGAUGAAGGUCUUCGGAUCGUAAAACUCUGUUAUUAGGGAAGAACAAAUGUGUAAGUAACUAUGCACGUCUUGACGGUACCUAAUCAGAAAGCCACGGCUAACUACGUG
rnacentral:rRNA from 1 species